GACGAACGCUGGCGGCGUGCUUAACACAUGCAAGUCGAACGGAAAGGCCCCUUUGGGGUUACUCGAGUGGCGAACGGGUGCGUAACACGUGAGUAACCUGCCCUUGACUUCGGGAUAACUUCAGGAAACUGGGGCUAAUACCGGAUAGGAAUCCUUGCUGCAUGGUGGGGGUUGGAAAGCUUCGGCGGUGUUGGAUGGACUCGCGGCUUAUCAGCUUGUUGGUGGGGUAGUGGCUUACCAAGGCUUUGACGGGUAGCCGGCCUGAGAGGGCGACCGGCCACAUUGGGACUGAGAGACGGCCCAGACUCCGACGGGAGGCAGAAGUGGGGAAGAUUGCACAAUGGGCGGAAGCCUGAUGCAGCAAGGCCGCGUGCGGGAUGACGGCCUUCGGGUUGUAAACCGCGUUCAGCAGGGGCGAAGCUUGUGGUGACGGUACCUGCAGAAGAAGCACCGGCUAACUACGUG
rnacentral:rRNA from 1 species